rnacentral:rRNA from 1 species
GAGUUUGAUCCUGGCUCAGGAUGAACGCUAGCGGCAGGCUUAACACAUGCAAGUCGAGGGGUAGAGGAAGCUUGCUUCCUUGAGACCGGCGCACGGGUGCGUAACGCGUAUGCAAUCUACCUUGUACAGGGGGAUAGCCCAGAGAAAUUUGGAUUAAUACCCCAUAGUGUAAUGAAAUGGCAUCAUUUUAUUACUAAAGUUCCAACGGUACAAGAUGAGCAUGCGUCCCAUUAGCUAGUUGGUGUGGUAACGGCAUACCAAGGCAACGAUGGGUAGGGGUCCUGAGAGGGAGAUCCCCCACACUGGUACUGAGACACGGCCCAAACUCCUACGGGAGGCAGCAGUGGGGAAUAUUGGACAAUGGGCGCAAGCCUGAUCCAGCCAUGCCGCGUGAGUGAUGAAGGCCUUAGGGUUGUAAAGCUCUUUCAGUGGGGACGAUAAUGACGGUACCCGCAGAAGAAGCCCCGGCUAACUUCGUGCCAGCAGCCGCUGUAAG